rnacentral:rRNA from 1 species
AAUGAACGCUGGCGGCGCGCCUAAUACAUGCAAGUCGAGCGAGAAGACGUAGCAAUACGUUUGUAAAGCGGCGAACGGGUGAGGAAUACAUGGGUAACCUACCCUAGAGUGGGGAAUAACUAGCCGAAAGGUUAGCUAAUACCGCGUACGCUCCUUGGACUUCGGUUCAGGGAGGAAAGCGAUGCCGAGGGUAUCGCGCUCUUGGAUGGGCUCAUGUCCUAUCAGCUUGUUGGGAGGUAACGGCUCACCAAGGCUUCGACGGGUAGCUGGUCUGAGAGGACGAUCAGCCACACUGGCACUGCGACACGGGCCAGACUCCUACGGGAGGCAGCAGUAAGGAAUAUUGCGCAAUGGGCGAAAGCCUGACGCAGCGACGCCGCGUGGGGGAUGAAGGUCUUCGGAUUGUAAACCCCUUUCGGGAGGGAAGAUGGAAUGGGGUAACCCAUUCGGACGGUACCUCCAGAAGCAGCCACGGCUAACUUCGUGCCAGCAGCCGCCGU